rnacentral:rRNA from 1 species
GGACUGUGGCAAUGUCUAGCUCUAGACUUUGCUGUAGAAAAUCUUAUGAACCUUAUCACUUAGAGGAAGGAGA